CAGCCGCCGCGGUAAUACGUAGGAGGCGAGCGUUAUCCGGAUUUACUGGGCGUAAAGCGCGUGCAGGUGGUAUUCUAAGUCGGACGUGAAAGCUCCUGGCUCAACUAGGAGAGGUCGUUCGAAACUAGGAAACUUGAGGGUGGUAGAGGAGAGUGGAAUUCCCGGUGUAGUGGUGAAAUGCGUAGAUAUCGGGAGGAACACCAGUGGCGAAGGCGGCUCUCUGGGCCAUUCCUGACACUAAGACGCGAAAGCUAGGGGAGAGAACGGGAUUAGAAACCCCGGUAUUCCUAGCCGUAAACGAUGUCAACUAGGUGUAGGGGGUAUCCAACCCCCCUGUGCUGUAGCAAACGCAUUAAGUUGACCGCCUGGGGACUACGGCCGCAAGGCUAAAACUCAAAGGAAUUGACGGGGACCCGCACAAGCAGCGGAGCGUGUGGUUUAAUUCGAGGCUACGCGAAGAACCUUACCAGGGUUUGACAUGGCGGUGGUAGGAAAGUGAAAGCUGACCGACCCUUCGGGGAGCCGUCACAGGUGCUGCAUGGCUGUCGUCAGCUCGUGCCGUGAGGUGUUAGGUUAAGUCCUGUAACGAGCGCAACCCUCGUCGUUAGUUAUACGUGUCUAACGAGACUGCCGGUGAUAAGCCGGAGGAAGGUGGGGAUGACGUCAAGUCAGCAUGGCCUUUAUAUCCUGGGCUACACCCACGCUACAAUGGCCGGUACAAUGGGUUGCCAAGCCG
rnacentral:rRNA from 1 species